rnacentral:rRNA from 1 species
AUUGAACGCUGGCGGCAGGCCUAACACAUGCAAGUCGAACGAGUGGCGGACGGGUGAGUAAUGUCUGGGAAACUGCCCGAUGGAGGGGGACAACUACUGGAAACGGUAGCUAAUACCGCAUACCAUGGGAUGUGCCGAGAUGGGAUUAGCUGGUAGGUGGGGUAAUGGCUCACCUAGGCGACGAUCCCUAGCUGGUCUGAGAGGAUGACCAGCAACACGGGAACUGAGACACGGCCAAGAACCCGAGGGGAGGCAGCAGUGGGGAAUAUUGGACAACGGGCGCAAUGCUGAUGCAGCAAUGCGGCGUGUAUGAAGAAGUCCUUCGGGUCGCAAAGUACUUUCAGAGGGGAGGCGUUACCCGCAGAAGUAGCACCGGCCAACUCCGUGGCAGCAGCCGCGGUAAUUC